AUUGAACGCUGGCGGCAGGCUUAACACAUGCAAGUCGAGCGCAGGAAGCUGACGGAACUCUUCGGAGGGAAGGCAGUGGAAUGAGCGGCGGACGGGUGAGUAACACGUAAGGAACCUGCCUCAAGGAUUGGGAUAACUCCGAGAAAUCGGAGCUAAUACCGGAUAGUUCAACGGACCGCAUGGUCCGCUGAUGAAAGGCGCUCCGGCGUCACCUUGAGAUGGCCUUGCGGUGCAUUAGCUAGUUGGUGGGGUAACGGCCCACCAAGGCGACGAUGCAUAGCCGACCUGAGAGGGUGAUCGGCCACACUGGGGCUGAGACACGGCCCAGACUCCUACGGGAGGCAGCAGUAGGGAAUCUUCCACAAUGGACGAAAGUCUGAUGGAGCAACGCCGCGUGAGUGAUGAAGGUUUUCGGAUCGUAAAACUCUGUUGUAAGGGAAGAACACGUACGAGAGGAAAUGCUCGUACCUUGACGGUACCUUACGAGAAAGCCACGGCUAACUACGUGCCAGCCGCCGCAGUAA
rnacentral:rRNA from 1 species